UUGCUUCGGCAGCAUAUAUACUAAAAUUGAAACGAUAGAGAGAAGAUUAGAGUGGCCCCUGCCCAUGGAUGAUACGCAAAUUCACAAAGCAUUCCACUUUUUU